GUUGCAGGCCAAUUUUGGCCCAAAUACAACCCAAUUACUCAAACCCCUUAAAACCCAAUACAAAACAGCCAAAACUACUAACCCUAGCCCAGACCAAUAAUAAAAAAUAGCAAAGAAAAAAAGAACCCUGGCCACCCCAUGAUGUUUGCCACCCCACGCCUCUGCAGCACCAUUCCCAGGCAUCACACACUCCCACCAACUCCUCCAUACCCUGCAAAAUGAAACAAACACCAAGACAGAAGUAGACAACACAAGAGCAGUAGCAAGAGGCUUAAAAUAUCGUUUUGAAAUGG
rnacentral:lncRNA from 1 species